AAAAUCAAGCUCUGAUACACUAGUGAACAACAAAACUUACCGGUAUGCCAGCGAUAAUUGACCCCUUUGAUAUUUUAUCGUUGGGUAAAAUUUUACUGGGAUAAAUGUUCGUGGUUACACCGAUGUGCAUCUGCCCAAGUCUAACUUAUUGUCUGUACGACUGUAUAUGUCUAUACGACUGAUACGGUUUAAAAUAAAUUUUUAAUUGAUUACUUGUUCCAAUCAAAUAAUGCAUAAGAGUUUUCGGUAAUAUAAUUAAAUUCGGUUUGUGUGUGUGUAUAUGUGUGACAAUGACAACUUGCAGAAGCCAAAAACCAAAAGAGCAAAAUCUUGUAGGAGCUUAUUUUCUUAUAGUUUAACGAAUAAAAUCAGUUUUUUUUAUUAGUGUAUAGCCAUAAAACAGAAUCGAUGAAUUCCAAAACUAUUCGUGAAUCACCAUCAAAAAUUUAGUUCGACUACCAUCGCCUAGCAUAUUAUG